GACGUAGGGUGCGAGCGUUGUUCGGAAUUACUGGGCGUAAAGCGCGCGUAGGCGGCUUUGUAAGUUAGAGGUGAAAGCCCAGGGCUCAACCCUGGAAUUGCCUUUAAGACUGCAUCGCUUGAACAUCGGAGAGGUAAGUGGAAUUCCGAGUGUAGAGGUGAAAUUCGUAGAUAUUCGGAAGAACACCAGUGGCGAAGGCGACUUACUGGACGAUUGUUGACGCUGAGGUGCGAAAGCGUGGGGAGCAAACAGG
rnacentral:rRNA from 1 species